GAUGAAGAACGUAGCGAAAUGCGAUAAGUAAUGUGAAUUGCAGAAUUCAGUGAAUCAUCGAAUCUUUGAACGCACCUUGCGCUCCUUGGUAUUCCAAAGAGCAUGCCUGUUUGAGUAUCAUUAAAUUAUCAACUGUACCAAUUUGGUUGCAGAUUGGAUGUGGGAGAUUUUGCAGGCUUUUGAUUUCUCUUUGAGAAAACGGUCAGCUCUCCUGAAAUAUAUUAGCAGUGCCUUUGUUGGUUCAUUAGGUGUGAUAAUUUAUCUAAAUCUUCACAUGGUACCUUCAUUUGUGUAAAGGUCAUAUUGCUUCUAAUUGUCUUUGGACAUAAAAAAAAAAAAAACAUAUAAUUGUAUGGAAAACUUGAUCUCAAAUCAGGCAGGACUACCCGCUGAACUUAAGCAUAUCAAUAAGCGGAGGA
rnacentral:misc_RNA from 1 species